UCCCAAACUCUGGAAUAUAUCCCCUUGGAGAGAGACAGAGAGACUUUCCCAUCAGAGCUCAUAGCAAUUGCCAAGAUUAUUGGAAGUUUCUAAGUAUAACUUCUAAAUAAAUACAUUCAUUUUUGAAAGUGAAAAUAAGAUUCAAAUCAAAGUCAACCAAAGUAAGAUUAGUAUGGGAAAUUUAUGCUGAAAUAAAAAAACAAAAACAAAAACAAACACAACCUUUUCCUUUUAUCUGAUUAACUUUAAUGAAAUAAGAAAAACUGGAGUUUGCUCCGCCUGAAAUUAACUAACUCCGCUAAACUUUGAAUCCAGUUAGAUUUAAAGUCCCCUCCUAGGCGUAGAUUGUCCUCAUAUAGACCAAUCCUGUCUUCGGAAGUAGGGGGCAUGGCUCCUUAAUUCAAGACCAAUCCCACACCAGGAAGUAGGGGGUGUGGUCCCUCCCCCAGCAUGGGACUGGCCCAUUCAAGACCAAUCCCACACCAGGAAGUAAGGGGGCGGGACCCCUGGGGCAUGCUGGGGGAUGCAGUUCCCCUGGCCACAACACUUUAAAAUCCACAGUGCCAACUACCAUUGAAUACAAUAUAGCAUCCAUUUGCUAUGAUGUACAUAUACAGGAUCAUAUUUACACAGGUACAUAUCAGAUUUGGACAAAGGCAUAAUCUGUCAUAGUCCCUGUUAAGUGUAGAUUCACGAUAAAGAAGGGUUGUAUCAUGCUGCCUUUGACCGUGGUAUGUCAACUUAAAGUGAAUCUUUGUGUGGUGGUUAAAAUUUCCCGAUCAGCCUCACCUGCUCAUCAGUGGGCUGCAAGACUGGCCGCAGAUGUGGGAUUUCCAUGAAGGCCGCAUUACCGGGGAAGCCUGAGGCAGGUUGAUCACACAGAAAGAAUCCUUGCUUCAUUGGUUCACUGGAGCACAUAACAAUGGCUACAAAUACAGCUAAACUUUCAUUCAGCAUCCCUAGAUUGUGUGUGUGUGUGUGUGUGUGCGCGCGCGUGUGAUUGGUCAUGCUGGAGAAGUUUUCAGAUUAUAAUAUUUUUCUACAAAUCUUCAGCCCUGAAUAAUGUGGGUUGGCAUAAUUUUUAAAAAAAGUCAAUGUAAGGGGAUAUAUUAAAAUAGAAAUCACUUAGAAGUGAGUGUCUGUCUUUAUUUUUCUAGGAUCCUGCACUUUAACCCCUUUCUUUCUGCCUCUCUUAUCUUUAUGGCUGAUGAAUUUCUAUAGGGAUUCCACCUAGGGAAGAUGCCUCACUCUUAUAUUAUCAAGUAUGUUCCUUCAGAAUAGUAGUAGUUGUGUUGUGGUCAAAAUCUAUAUUGAUUCAUUGAUCGAAUUUUUUGAUUGAAAAGCUUGGAACUGAGGGUUGGGAGAAUUGAAUUCCAAUCAAUAACAAUAAAAAAAAUGUUGAUUGAACA
rnacentral:lncRNA from 1 species